rnacentral:rRNA from 1 species
CAUGUAGGAAUUUAAAAGUUGAACAAACUUCUUCUUUUCAACUUCUUCACCGAAAAAGAAUCCUAAUCCAACAUCGAGGUCGCAAACUAUUUUAUCUAUAUGAACUAUCCAAAAUUAUUACGCUGUUAUCCCUAGAGUAUUUUUUUCAUAUAAUCGUUAAAAACGGAACUAAAUUUUUAUUAAUUAAAAAGAUACUUAUUCUUUUUUCAUCGCCCCAAUCAAAUUUUUUGAAAAAUAAUUUUUUCCCAAAAAAUAAAAAUUCAUAGGGUCUUCUUGUCCCUAAUAAUAAUUUUUGCUUUUGCACUAAAAAAUUAAAUUCAAUUAUUAAAUUAAAGAAAGUCUUUAAUUGUUAAAUCAUUCUCUUAGCACUCAUUUAAAAUCUUAUUUCAAUACCUUCGUAUAGUCAAAAUACCACAGCAAUUUAAAAAAUCAUUGAGCAGAAUUUACAUUUUAUUAUUAUCAAAAUGAAAUGUUUUUGU